UCCAACACGGGCAUCAGGGCUGCGAGG
rnacentral:sRNA from 1 species